rnacentral:ncRNA from 1 species
GCCGCGGGACGACCCGCCGGUGUGUCGGAUCAUGCGGGGACGACCCUG